AAUCUGACUGUCUAAUUAAAACAUAGCAUUGCGAUGGCCAGAAAGUGGUGUUGACGCAAUGUGAUUUCUGCCCAAUGGCUCAUUAUAUAAGUUAUCGUUUAUUUGAUAGUAUCUUGCUACUUGGAUAACCGUGGUAAUUCUAGAGCUAAUACAUGCUAAAAAUCCCGACUUCGGAAGGGAUGUAUUUAUUAGAUUAAAAACCAAUGCCCUCUGGGCUCUCUUGGUGAAUCAUGAUAACUUCUCGAAUCGCAGGGCCUUGCGCCGGCGAUGGUUCAUUCAAAUUUCUUCCCUAUCAACUUUCGAUGUUUGGGUAGUGGCCAAACAUGGUUGCAACGGGUAACGGAGGGAUUAGGGACCCGGGGGCUCUAUAUAGCCUUCAUCCAUUCUCAAACUUUAAAUAUGUAAGAAGCCCUUGUUACUUGACUGAACGUGGGCAUUCGAAUGUAUCAGCACUAGUGGGCCAUUUUUGGUAAGCAGAACUGGCGAUGCGGGAUGAACCGAACGCGAGGUUAAGGUGCCAGAGUAGACGCUCAUCAGACACCACAAAAGGUGUUAGGGGCAUCAGUAUUCAAUUGUCAGAGGUGAAAUUCUUGGAUUUAUUGAAGACUAACUACUGCGAAAGCAUUUGCCAAGGAUGUUUUCAUUAAUCAGGAACGAAAGUUAGGGGAUCGAAGACGAUCAGAUACCGUCGUAGUCUUAACCAUAAACUAUGCCGACUAGGGAUCGGACGAUGUUAUUUUUUGACUCGUUCGGCACCUUACGAGAAAUCAAAGUGCUUGGGCUCCAGGGGGAGUAUGGUCGCAAGGCUGAAACUUAAACGGGAGGGAAUAAUUCUCACGCCAGGUCGUACUCAUAACCGCAGCAGGUCUCCAAGGUGAACAGCCUCUGGUUAAGCAAUUAUACGGCGAAACUGCGAAUGGCUCAUUAUAUAAGUUAUCGUUUAUUUGAGGGACCCGGGGGCGCUAUAUAGCCUUCAUCCAUUCUCAAACUUUAAAUAUGUAAGAAGCCCUUGUUACUUGACUGAACGUGGGCAUUCGAAUGUAUCAGCACUAGUGGGCCAUUUUUGGUAAGCAGAACUGGCGAUGCGGGAUGAACCGAACGCGAGGUUAAGGUGCCAGAGUAGACGCUCAUCAGACACCACAAAAGGUGUUAGGGGCAUCAGUAUUCAAUUGUCAGAGGUGAAAUUCUUGGAUUUAUUGAAGACUAACUACUGCGAAAGCAUUUGCCAAGGAUGUUUUCAUUAAUCAGGAACGAAAGUUAGGGGACGACGGCGGGGGCCCCGAGCAGAGUUCUCUUUUCUUCUUAACGGUCUCUCACCCUGAAAUCGGUUUGUCCGGAGCUAGGGUUUAACGGCCGGAAGAGCCCAGCACCUCUGCUGGGUUCGGUGCGCUCCCGACGUCCCUUGAAAAUCCGCGGGAGGGAAUAAUUCUCACGCCAGGUCGUACUCAUAACCGCAGCAGGUCUCCAAGGUGAACAGCCUCUGGUUAAGCAAUUAUACGGCGAAACUGCGAAUGGCUCAUUAUAUAAGUUAUCGUUUAUUUGAGGGACCCGGGGGCGCUAUAUAGCCUUCAUCCAUUCUCAAACUUUAAAUAUGUAAGAAGCCCUUGUUACUUGACUGAACGUGGGCAUUCGAAUGUAUCAGCACUAGUGGGCCAUUUUUGGUAAGCAGAACUGGCGAUGCGGGAUGAACCGAACGCGAGGUUAAGGUGCCAGAGUAGACGCUCAUCAGACACCACAAAAGGUGUUAGGGGCAUCAGUAUUCAAUUGUCAGAGGUGAAAUUCUUGGAUUUAUUGAAGACUAACUACUGCGAAAGCAUUUGCCAAGGAUGUUUUCAUUAAUCAGGAACGAAAGCGCCGUCUGGCGAAAGGGGAGCCGGUUAACAUUCCGGCGCCUGGAUGUGGGUUUUGCGCGGCAACGCAACUGAACGCGGAGACGACGGCGGGGGCCCCGAGCCUGGGGACAGAGCAUUGCAAUUAUUGCUCUUCAACGAGGAAUCCCUAGUAAGCGCAAGUCAUCAGCUUGCGUUGAUUACGUCCCUGCCCUUUGUACCCACCGCCCGUCGCUACUACCGAUUGAAUGGCUCAGUGAGGCGUCCGGACUGGCCCAGAGAGGUGGGCAACUACCACUCUAAAAAAGAUUUAAAGUUAUUAAAUAACAUUAAAGAAUUUUUU
rfam:Villosiclava virens strain TV-8b Sca_136, whole genome shotgun sequence.